GGACUACAGGGGUAUCUAAUCCCGUUCACUCCCCUAGCUUUCGUGCCUCAGCGUCAGAAAAUGCCCAGUGUGCCGCUUUCGCUGCUGGCGUUCCUUCCGAUAUCUACACAUUUCACCGCUCCACCGGAAGUUCCACACACCCCUGCAUCACUCCAGUCAUCCAGUUUCAAGCGCAGUUUCCCGGUUGAGCCGAGAGAUUUCACACCUGACUUAGAUAACCGCCUACGCACCCUUUAAGCCCAGUGAUUCCGAAUAACGUUCGCACAGUUCGUAUUACCGCGGCUGCUGGCAC
rnacentral:rRNA from 1 species